ensembl:misc_RNA Metazoa_SRP Metazoan signal recognition particle RNA
GCCGGGCGCGGUGGCGCACGCCUGUAGUCCCAGCUACUCGGGAGGCUGAGACAGGAGGAUCGCUUGAGUCCAGGAGUUCUGGGCUGUAGUGCGCUAUGCCAAUCGGGUGUCCGCACUAAGUUCGGCAUCAAUAUGGUGACCUCCCGGGAGCGGGGAGCCACCAGGUUGCCUAAGGAGGGGUGAACCGGCCCAGGUCGGAAAAGAUAUGUUUGUGAAUAAUAUUAUUACAACAAACAACUAAUAACAAAAGCCAAAUUUGUAGUGCUUUACAGUACUAUAGUAGUAUAAUAUACAGUGCUGUAUAGUAUAUAGUACAUAGUACUGUAUGUCCU